ACUAACUCUGUUUUAUCGAUAAUCUAUUUAGGUACCUGUACAAGGGGGCGUUGAUACUUCACCUCCAAAUAUUACGUCAAAAAGAGGAGGAAUAGAAGUUUUAAAAAAAAAUCCGGAAGUACUAUUUUCAUUACAAAUACACUUUAUAGCCAUAUACAAGAAAAAAUUUACUUGAAUCUGAUAUAAGGUAUUUGUUGACAUUCAAUCUGAUUAGUCCAAGCAACAUAUCUUGAAUUUCUGAAUGCUCAGAUCCUCGCUUUCAAUACCUGGAUUUACCAAAAUAUAUGAUACACUAUUUCCUUCACUAAAAACGUGAGAAAUUUUAACUUCCAACUGGCUGCACGUCUCGGAUGGCUUGCACUUGGUAUUGACAUUUUCAUGGCCUCAAUGUGUCACUAUUGACCGCUUGAAGAGCUUCUUUGGAAUCCAUUUCAACUCAUAGCCUUCUGUAGCCUUUCUGAACACGAAAUUUAAAUUCUCGGCAUUACUCUCGAACCUCAGAGUCCAUACUAAUGCAGUCUUAUCAUUUUACUCCCUGAUUUUUAAUUUUUGUCCAUAUUUGUCCUUCAGCCGAAUUUCAUCUAAUUUUUUCCAACGUCCUCAUUCCAUCUUUUUGACCCUUUUCUCGAUGUCUCUUGACCUCGCGCCAUUACCUUAUUUCCCAUCCAAACUCAUAAUUAACCCCAAAAAAAAAAAAAAAGUGUAAAAGUCAAUAGAAAUCAUGACAUGACCUGCCUCGAACAAUGCUAGUGGAUUCGAAAUGUAACGUGCGCCGAUGAUGGAAACAAACUAAAAGUCAGAUCUACUAUCAAGGCUACUACAAUAUACAACUUAUUAUCACUUAUUUAUAACAAAAUCAUCAUUAUCUUCUCAGUAAUUUGGACUAACGAACUUGUAGUCAAAUGUAUAAGAAAUUCUAACAACAAUAUCAUAGCAAUUUGAAACCAGUAUUCCCUUCAAUAACUAUAACGACACGACACGACACUACACGAUAGAGAUAAGUCGAAUUCUCCAACUUUUACUUUGAAAACAACAUGAACUGUAUGUUGGGAAUCUACUUAUACAUGCACAGCGGAAUUUAAAAUAAUUUUCGAUUCUCACCAAGAAUCGCCUUUGUGUUUAGAUAGAAAUUGUGAUAAGAUUGUACCUUUUCAGAUUUGCAAUCCUUUUACUUUUCUUUUCGUUCCAUCAACUUUGAUUUGCCACCACAGCUGUCCAAUUGUCCAGCCUCCAACGGUGAUCCACACAAAGAAUAUGAUUGCAGCCUCUAGGGUUUUCUCUUGUGCCAGCAAGAAUAAUGAAAACCUUAUUGGACCUCAAACUCUAGUUAUGUAUUUAUAUAAACUCAAAUAGGCUCGGCCCGGUCCGGUCCAAUAAUUAAUUAAUCCAAUUAAAUAAACCCGAUCCGUGAAUUAAUUAAUCCAAUUAAUUAAUUCGAAAAUAUAAAUAACAAAUCCAAUUAAUUAAUUUAUCCAACGUUUGUU
rnacentral:lncRNA from 1 species